UACGGAGGGUGCAAGCGUUAUCCGGAUUCACUGGGUUUAAAGGGUGCGUAGGUGGCCGGUUAAGUCUGACGUGAAAUCUCCGAGCCUAACUCGGAAACUGCGUCGGAAACUAUCCGGCUCGAGGGUUGGAGGGGGGACUGGAAUACUUGGUGUAGCAGUGAAAUGCGUAGAUAUCAAGUGGAACACCAGUGGCGAAGGCGAGUCCCUGGACAACUCCUGACACUGAGGCACGAAAGCUAGGGGAGCAAACAGG
rnacentral:rRNA from 1 species